rnacentral:rRNA from 1 species
GUUUACGGCCAUACCACCCUGAACAAACCCGAUCCCGUCUGAUCUCGGAAGCUAAGCAGGGUCGGGCCUGAUUAAUACUUGGAUGGGAGACCACCUAGGAAGACCAGGUGCCGUAGGCA